UUGACCUCGGAUCAGGUAGGGAUUAC
rnacentral:rRNA from 1 species